rnacentral:rRNA from 1 species
UACGGGAGGCAGCAGUGGGGAAUAUUGCACAAUGGGCGCAAGCCUGAUGCAGCCAUGCCGCGUGUAUGAAGAAGGCCUUCGGGUUGUAAAGUACUUUCAGUCGUGAAGGAAGGUGUUAAGGUUAAUAACCUUAGCAAUUGACGUUAGCGACAGAAGAAGCACCGGCUAACUCCGUGCCAGCAGCCGCGGUAAUACGGAGGGUGCGAGCGUUAAUCGGAAUUACUGGGCGUAAAGGGCACGCAGGCGGUUAAUUAAGUUGGAUGUGAAAUCCCCGGGCUUAACCUGGGAAUGGCAUUCAAGACUGGUUAGCUAGAGUCUUGUAGAGGGGGUAGAAUUCCAUGUGUAGCGGUGAAAUGCGUAGAGAUGUGGAGGAAUACCGGUGGCGAAAGGCGGCCCCUGGACAAAGACUGACGCUCAUGUGCGAAAGCGUGGGGAGCAAACAGGGAUUAGAUACC